GACGAACGCUGGCGGCGUGCUUAACACAUGCAAGUCGAACGGAAAGGCCCUGCUUUUGUGGGGUGCUCGAGUGGCGAACGGGUGAGUAACACGUGAGUAACCUGCCCCUGACUUUGGGAUAACUUCAGGAAACUGGGGCUAAUACCGGAUAGGAGCUCCUGCUGCAUGGUGGGGGCUGGAAAGUUUCGGCGGUUGGGGAUGGACUCGCGGCUUAUCAGCUUGUUGGUGGGGUAGUGGCUUACCAAGGCUUUGACGGGUAGCCGGCCUGAGAGGGUGACCGGCCACAUUGGGACUAAGAUACGGCCCAGACUCCAACGGGAGGCAGCGGUGGAGAAUAUUGCACAAUGGGCGGAAGCGUGAUGCAGCAACGCCGCGUGCGGGAUGACGGCCUUCGGGUUGAAAACCGCUUUCGCCUGUGACGAAGCGUGAGUGACGGUAAUGGGUAAAGAAGCACCGGCUAACUACGUG
rnacentral:rRNA from 1 species